AAACUUUGUUCGUGUCCCAAGGGAAUUUGCCAAUCCGCUCAGCCCGCGUGUCAAAAACCUAGCCGCCAGCCCUUCUCGUCCCCUCCUCCCCGCUUCCUUCAUCCUCUCCCAUGUCGCCGCCCUUCUUCUCCCCGCUCGCCUUGGCCGCCUCCUCUCCUCCGCCGUGUCAUCGGCCCCCUCCCUCCUCCUACCUCCUCCUCCCUCCUCUCAGUCCCAUUCCAGCCGCUGCCCAAACCCUAGCCGCCGGUUCCCUCGAUCCCCACAGUAACCGCAUCCACAACCACCCACUCCUUCUCACAGCCGCCACACCAUUCCUCCUUUCCGCCCCCUCCUCCUUCCCGGAUCCCCACCACGACGCCGACCUGCAGGAAAAGGGCGACGAAGAGUAGCAAACAAGGACAACGAGGGAGAGAAAGAAGGGAGAUAAAAAGGAGGCCGGCGGCGAGGCCCGGCGACUAGCGCCUCUCCGCCUCAAGCCCCGGCAUCACCGCCACCAGAUCCACCUUGCAACCUCUCUUCCUCCCCUGUCUGACUGCUGCAUGGUCGCGUCAGGCCCAUGCCGGCGCCGUCGCCACCGCCGCACCGCUGCCGCUGGAUGGCUCCAUCGGUCGUUCCCGCCCCAGAUGGAAAACUGAGAGAGCGACAGGAGGGAAGAAGGGGAUCGGGGGAGGGGAGAGCAUGGGAGAGAAGGCAGGGGAUAUUUUCCGCCUUAGUCGAUUCAGGAACAGCGUCGGAUGGGAGAGAGCAGGGGAGGGACAAGAGGCCAGCGGUGUGGGGUGGAGCAGCGAGGCCGAAGACGGGGCAGCGGACGCCUCACGGGGUGUAGGAGAGGUCGGCGAUAGGGAAAAGCAGCAUCUUCAUGGAUGAGAUCCUGACGGCUGAAGAUGGUGCGCACGGGAGGAGCUUGGAAGAUGUCAACAUGAGCUUCUCUCAAUCCUUCUCCCCUUCACGCCCCUUGCAAAUUUUUCUUGUUUCAGAUCAUAUGAAAGGGCGCCGCGAGGAGUGGAGGAUUGAGGUCGUGGUUGCCAGCUUCAAAUUUUGGUUGAGCACUUCCUCAAGAAUCUUGUUGAGGUGUCUGCUUCCCCUCUCUGUGUCAUGAAUGAUUGUGAUGGCUGCAGGGUCUUCGCAAGGAGUUGAAGGCUGAGGUCAUGGUUGUCAGCUUCAAUUUUUUGCUAAGCAAUUCCUCAAGAGUCUUGCCAAGAUCUGAGGAUGAAGGGAAGAAGAAGAAUUUAACUAAACAGUUGAAGAAGAUCAAGGACCUACUAUGAUGCAUAUUUGAAAGAGUGCAUCUAUUGUUUCAGCUGAAAAUUGAUCUCUAUUUGAAGGAGUGCAUCUAUUGUGCAUCUGCGUCAAAAGACAGUGUGCUGUCUUUUAUUCCAUGCUCCAAAUAUUUCAUGUCCAAUUCAUAGGCAUCCUUGAAUUGCUUAACGAUGAUGGCAUGUUUGGUGUUCAUAUUUUUGUCAGCCAAAUAAUAAUAGGUGCACUUGACUGUUUGAGGAAAUGCCAACUGAAAUGCCAAUUGUGGUCAGCGUGUUGUAAGUACUUUGGGAAACAAGUUCUGGCGUAAGUUUAUCUGCUUGCUCAUGCAUUUUAAUACUGGAUUGAUGUCCUGAUAAUUUGUGAAUUUCUGUGUACCAUGUGAUAAGCUGCACAUCAGGCUGCAUGACAUCUUGUUUGUUGCUUUUAGGAUGUACAUGUACCCAGGUGGAUCAAAUACAAAUACCAGUCAUAUAUUAUUAUUUUUACUCGUGUGUUUUUCUUCUGCCUGCCAAACAUUUUGAAAAUUGAUUAUAUCAUUCAGAUGUAUUCAGGCUGGGUUUCUGUGAUCCAAAAAAAUCAUCUGGCAUGGCUUUUUUUACAUACAAAACUAAGUGUGGAGCAGUGUAUAUGUUCAUUGCUUUCUUAUCACAUUGUAUUUGUCGGAGGUGCUGUACUGAUUUGAAGGAAAUGCUUUUAUAUUUCCAAGUUGAUCAACUACAAAACUUCUGAUCCUAAAGCCUUUCUUUAAAAGGGGAUGGUCAAUGCAGCUCCAUGUUGUGCUAUCUUGCUAUUGGGCUCUUUUUUCGUUACUUAAAAUGGUCAGAUAUCUCUGAUGUUAAAUUCAUGGUUGAUUGCUUAUAUCCAAAAUAACUAUGUUAGUACACUGAAGCCACUUUCUACAUUGUUAGUGAAGUUGGCUAAAUAGUUUUUGCACCACUGAGAUAUAUAUGUGCACUGCAUUCUAACCCUGUAAAUUGUUUAGCCAUUAGUUUAAUCCAGAAUAUAAUUAUGUUAGUACACUCUGCAAUAUAAUUAUGUUAUAUUCUGCUUUUGUCAGUUUGCUGGUCCAUAUUAAUUUCCUCGAACUUAUUUUCACAUCUCAUGAAGGGGAGCCUUGGCGCAGUGGUAAAGCUGCUGCCUUGUGACCAUGAGGUCAUGGGUUCAAGUCCUGGAAACAGCCUCUUACAGAAAUGUAGGGAAAGGCUGCGUACUAUAGACCCAAAGUGGUCGGACCCUUCCCUGGACCCUGCGCAAGCGAGAGCUACAUGCACCAGGUUGCCCUUUUUUUUUUUUAAAUUUUCACAUCUCAUCAUAUUUACACCUCUCCUUUGAAUGAAUUUACUGCAUAAAUUUCUUAUUUAGUUUAGUUCAUCAUUCAGAGACGAUGGAAUAUUUUUGUCCUUCACAGGUUAAAUGAGCAUUGCGUAGUCCUUCACAGGUUAAAUGAGCAUUGUGUAAAAGUAUGUCUAAGUUCUCUUUCUUCAAGUGCUUCAAGUAAAUAAAAUUGUCUAUUUCAAAUUUAAUACCUUUUAAUAAUAAUCAUAAUGAGAGAGGGGUAUGCUUCUCCCUCUCUGGGCAAAUGUUACUUUAGACAACAUGUACUAAGAAAUAAAAACUCUAGAAAUGUGUUUGAAUCGCACAAAAAGAGUUCGUAGUUCUUAUUCAUACUUGAAACACGUUAGGCUCUGCAAAUUAAACCAUGUUUUUUUCAAGGCGUAUAUGGAUUUAGCAGACCACAACUAAACCGACUGUAUAUACAUGGCUUGUCCUGUAAAGGAAACUAUUUUCAUCGCGAACAUGGCUUUAGUUGAAGGUUCUUGGAGCAUGAAACUAUUUUCAUCGACAACAUGUCUUCAGUAGGUCUCUGCACCAUUUGGCGCAACGGGUCAACUAGUACAUGCAGUAGGAGCCUUUCCUACUGUCUUUACAGUAAAAAAAAUUGCUCUUAAACCGUAAGGAAUUAGAGAGCGUGUUCUACAUGAAAUAGUCGUGCCUCAUUGAUAUCUUUCCAAUUACGUAUAAUUUGAAUAAUUCGAUCAGCG
rnacentral:rRNA from 1 species